GUUCAAGACCAGCCUAGGCUACAUAAUGAGUUCCAGGACAAGACACGGCCAUGUGAAGGUGCUGAUGGGAAGCAGGCCCCACACCAGACCCUCCACAAGUGCAUGGGAAAGCAGAGCUGAACAGAUAAAGCAGCUUGAGGCAGUGCAUCAAAUGUGAAGAGUAGAGACUAGAAUAAUGACCCCAGUUCCAACAAUUACCAACACAAGGCCAAUUUUCUUUCCUGUGUUGUGAAACCUGUGGAAUGCCCACAGAACGAUGUACCCCAGCAGACCCUGAGAAGAGGCCCAAAGCAACUGCUAAAGGGAUCAGCAUCUUGUGGGGAGUAAGGGCCACUUAAAACAUGUGUAAAACCAAGGA